UUCGUACUAUUUACUGCUUUAAGUCUGAUGUGAAAGGGAAUGAGGAUGCAGUGGAAAUUAUUAAGGAUGCUCUGUCAAAAAUUCUUGUUCACUGCUAUCCUCUUGCUGGGCGGUUGACGAUCAGCUCAGAAGGGAAGCUGAUNNNNNNNAGGGUGCUGUUUUUGUUGAAGCUGAAGCAAACUGUUCCAUAACUGAGAUAGGAGACACCACAAAGCCUGACCCUGUCACACUUGGGAAGUUGGUUUAUGAUAUUCCGGGUGCACAGAACAUACUUCAGAU
rnacentral:misc_RNA from 1 species